GACGAACGCUGGCGGCGUGCUUAACACAUGCCAGUCGAACGGAAAGGCCCUGCUUGCAGGGUGCUCGAGUGGCGAACGGGUGAGUAACACGUGGGUGAUCUGCCCCUUACUUUGGGAUAAGCCUGGGAAACUGGGUCUAAUACUGGAUAGGACCAUGCUGUAGGUGGUGUGGUGGAAAGAUUAGUUUCGGUAAGGGAUGAGCUCGCGGCCUAUCAGCUUGUUGGUGGGGUAAUGGCCUACCAAGGCGUCGACGGGUAGCCGGCCUGAGAGGGUGGGCGGCCACAUUGGGACUGAGAUACGGCCCAGACUCCUACGGGAGGCAGCAGUGGGGAAUAUUGCACAAUGGGCGCAAGCCUGAUGCAGCGACGCCGCGUGGGGGAUGACGGCCUUCGGGUUGUAAACACCUUCCAGCCAUGACGAAGCCCUUGUGGUGACGGUAGUGGUAGAAGAAGCACCGGCUAACUACGUG
rnacentral:rRNA from 1 species